AUGCGGAACCGAGCAGCAACUUCUCCACUGAGAAAUUGCGUUACGGUUCUGCAUC
rnacentral:pre_miRNA from 1 species